AGAUACCUCAAAAGUGUGCCAACUUGAAAUUUUUUGUAUUAACUCGUUUUUUUAAUCAAACCGUUUAAUGUUAUUUUCUUUUAUUUCUUUAAACAUAAUCGGAUUUCAAAAUCAAACUUUAUUGGUUUUUCAACGCUAAAUAAUUGUUUUAAAUUUAUCUUUCCAAGUAUGCUAAUCAAUGCAUAUGGUUCUCAAUUUCAAUGGGAUGUACAAUUUAGCAAAGAUAUCAAAUUUAUCGUUUGUUUAUCAAAGCUAUUAUCAUUCUUUUUGACCAAAAGAAAUAAAUGAGAAAAUUUAUAAGAGCUGAGAAAUAAUGUAUCAAAUCAUUAGUUGAUGAGUAAUAUCACAAGAUUUUAAAAAUUAUUGCAAGUUAAACUAUUCUUAAGAUAUUUAAUUAGCUAUUUCUUCUUUUUUAGGUCUGGUUUUUGCUAUGUCGUGAAAGUAUUUAGAUAUUAAUUUAUUGCAGUUUCUAAUCAUGAUAAUAUCCUUAUUUUUAGGGUUUUUAUACAGUAUUAUAGAAUAUCAAUUUUAUUGAGACACUGUUCUGUGAAAUGAUUUGUUCUUAGUUUCUGACUAACAUGAAAGAUAUUAUGGCAAUACAGGGUUUUCAACAGUCGUGAGUUUUUUAUAAUGGCUAAUUUUGAUUAUUUAUCUUUUUCAGGCUCGGUUUUCGAGAUUUUUGCAGCUUUUUGUCAUGAAGGUUUUCCUACUUUAAUUGUCUCUUUUUCUAUAAUUUUUUAAUUAAUGAAAUUUAAUAUAGUCAAUUUUUUCAAAUCUUCCCUAGUCUAAUUGAUUCAUAGGAGGAGUUAUUUGAGGGACUCAGAGUAUAGGCACCCGAUUUACACGUUUCAGUUGUCAAAAGAACCAACAAGGGUUGCUCUUGCAUAAAAGCUAGAAUACCUGAAUGCUGCAAGUUGACAAAAAGUGAGAUAACAGCAAUGCAGUUGACAUCAUGGUAGGUCUUUGAAAUGCUGUUUCUUUACUACAUUGCUUAUCAUUAGGCAUAAAUGUGUCCCUCGUCUAAUUGUCUAAUUGUUUGAUUUUUUCUUUUGAGAUAUUGUGCUACUGCAAUGCAUUCUUCUUUACAAUUUGCUUCUGUUUUCCCAUGUCUAGUUUGUUGUAGCGUUUAAUAACACGCUUGAUUGAUUAACUGACAGUUUUCAGAGAUUUUUUUAAGAACUUAUUAAUUUAAUGGACUUCAAUGAUGUAUCGCUUUCAAUAUCAGCUAAGAUUGAAGAUUGGUAAGUGAAUGCUUAUUGACAAUUUAUACUUUUUUAUAGACGGGUAGCAGAUUAAUAUAGCUAUGAUCUGAUUAUUUGAUAUGUCGUUUAUAAAACCAGAAUACAGUUAUGCCUGGAAACUAUGCUUGCUAGAUUUCUUAUGAUUAUCAAGGUUUUUGUCACCAGCAUCAUCACAAGCACAAGUUAGGAAUGAUUGACUUAUAGGUUGCUGAUUCUUCGUAAAAUUUUUAAACUGAUU